UACAAUUAUCUAUUUGUAUUUUAUUGUGAGGCUUUGUUUAUAGGGUUCUACUUUGUUUGUUUCUUGUGUGGCUUUCUUUGUAUGAUUCUACUUUUGAAUUUGUGUCCCUUUUCUUAUGUGGCUUUGUUUGCAGGGUUCUACUUUGUUAGUAGAGUAGCUUUGCCUAUAAGAUUCUACUUUUUUUUUUAAUAGACUUCUUGUGUGGCUUUGUUUGUAGGGUUGUACUUUAUUUGUUUCUUGUGUGGAUUAAUUUGUAGGAUCCUGCUUUGGAAUUCAUGUCUUGGUUCAGUUUGGAGGGAUCUAUUUUUGUGUUCGUGUUCUUAUGUGGCUUUGUUUGUAAGAUUCUGCAUUGGAAUUCAUGUCUUUGGUUCAAUUUGUAGGGUUCUAUUUUUGAAUUUGUGUCCCUUUUUUGUGUGACUUUGUUUGUAGGGUUCUAGUGUGGUCUUGUUUGUAGGAUUCUACUUUGGAAUUCAUGUCUUAGGUUUAGUUUAUAGGUUUCUAUGUUUGAAACUGUGUCUUUUUUUCUUGUAUGGCUUGUUUUGCUUUGUUUGUAGAGUUUUUAUUUAUUUGCAAAGUUAUUAUAUGCCUUGUUUAUACAUUUAUUUGUUUGUAUUUUGUUGUGUGGCUUUGUUUGUAGGGUUUUAUAUUGUUUGUAGGGUUCUACGUUGUUCGUGGAGUACUUUUGUUUAUAAGGUUUUACUUUGUAGAUAGUACUUUUGUGGCUUUAUUUGUAGGGUUCUAUUUUGUUUGGUUCUUGUGUGGCUUUGUUUGUAGGAUUUUGCUUUAGUAUUUGUGUCCUGAUUCAGUUUGUAGGAUUUUACUUUGAAGUUCUUGUGUGAUUUUGCUUUCUUUGUUUCACGUGUGGCUUUGUUUGUAAGAUUUUGCUUUGGAAUUCAUGUGUUGAGUUCAGUUUGUAGGGUUCUACUUAUGAAUCCAUGCCUCGUUUCUUGUGUGGCUUUGUUUAGUGGGAUUGCCUUGUUUGUACGAUUCUUGUGUCUUUUAUUUGUAGGCUAGUGCUUGGUUUGUAGAGAUGUUAUGUGAGCUCUGUUUAUAGGAUUUUUCUUGGAGGUCUUGUCUAGAGUUAUGUUUGAAGGAAUCCACUUUGGGGAUUCUUAUCCAUUUGCAUUGUCUUAUGUGGCUUUGUUUGUAGGGAUUUACUUUUUAUGUAGAGUUAUUGGGGUUCUUAUCCAUUUGCAUUUUAUUUAUUUUGUAAAGUUCUUAUUUGGCUUUAUUUAUAGGUUCUGUUUGUUUUUAGAGUUCUUGGUGGCUUUGUUUGUUGGAUUUUUCUUUUGGAUUGUUUUAAUGGGUUCUCUUUGUUGUAGGGCUUUAUUUUAGAAGUAUUUCCCAUUUUCAUUUUCUUAUAUGGCUUCAUUUUCUUAUCUUGCGUUAGAAUUCUUUUCUUGGGUUAAGUUUGUGGGGCUAUGCUUUAGAUUUCUUCUCUAACUGCAUUUACUUGUGUGACUUUGUUUGUAGAGAUCUUUUCCAUUUAUUUUCUUUCCACUCUUAAGGUUUUGUGUUGAUCCUUUGUUCAUUUUCAUUUUCUUGUCCGACUUUGUUUGUGAAUUCUUUGUCUUGGGUUCUAUUUGUGAAGAAUUUAAACAUAACCCUACAAAUAAAGUCAAACAAGAAAAAGCAAAUCAACAAGACCUAGUGUUAGUCUCGAGUCCGAGACAUUUAAUAAAUGAUGUGACAUGUUAAUCUUUGAGCUAAUAAAAAUUGUCAUUUUUUUGAGAUCCCUCCACCAUACGUGUGAGGGAACAACAACCAUCUGCUAUUUUUGCAGAUUAUCGAUCCCGGGCCUCCUCUUCCUGGGUCACUGAUACUGGAUCUAGUCAUCAUGUUGCAUCCGAUCUCUCGAGCUUUGAUCACUCCGAGGCAUACCAUGGCCAUGACAACUUAUAUGUUGGCAACGGUAAAGGUUUACCCAUUCUCCAUAUUGGCUCCUCUAAACUCUAUUCUCUUAAUAAAACUUUUCAUCUCUAACAAAUUCUUCAUGUUCCGAUAAUCAAACAAAACCUUCUUUCUGUUCAAAAUUUAUGCGAUGAUAAUAAUGUUUAUUUUGAAUUUCACACUUCUUUUUUUGCUGUGAAGGACGAGAAUACUCACACUAUCAUCCUCAUGGUCCAAAUAGUGGCGGCCUUUACUCCUUUCACCUUCCGCAGUUGCAGUCUACCUCGUCUAAAGUUGCUUUCUUCGCUACCCAUGCUUCUUCCGUCACUUGGCAUCAACGACUUGGACAUCCCCAUCCGCAACUGUUGAAGUCAAUGAUUUCAUGAUAUAGUUUACCUUUAUCAAACAAUUUUGUUAGUUCACCUUGUGAUUCUUGUUCUAUUGGAAAAUCUUCAAAACUUCAUCUAUCAUCUUCUAAUUAUAAAAGUUCUCAUAUUUUAGAUUCACUCUUUUGUGAUGUUUGGGGACCAACCCCUGUUACUUCUUUUGAAGACCAUUGAUAUUUCUUACUAUGUGUUGAUCAUUUUUCUAGUUUUAUGUGGAUUUUUCCGUUAAAAUCCAAAUCUGAUGUUUAUGGUACUUUCCAACAGUUUCUUCCUACAGUAGAACGACAAUUUCAAACCAAACUAAAAUAUGUUCAAGCUGAUUGGGGAGGUGAAUUUCGAAACCUCUCUAAGUUUUUCUCAUCUCUCGACAUUACUCAUCGCUUGUCUUAGAAUGACGUUGUUGAGCGUCGUCACCAUCAUGUGGUCGAAACCGACCUCACUCUUGCUCAAUCUGGUGUUCCACAACGAUUUUGGCAUUAUGAUUUUGACACAACCGUCUAUCUCAUAAAUCGUAUGCCUUCUAGAACCAACUCCAAUAUCUCACCUUUCGAACAUGUUUUCAAACACAAACCUGAUUUUUCGUUUCUUCGUGUGUUUGGUUGUCGAUGUUAUCCACAUCUCCGUCCGUAUAACAAGCAUACAAUGGAUUUUAGAUCUUUCCAUGCGUUUUUCUUGGAUAUAGCACCUCCUACCAUGGUUAUCCGUGCUUCGACCCUCUUUCCGAACGCCUUUAUAUCGCUCGUCAUGUCCGUUUUCAUGAACAAUUAUUCCCUUACCAAAUCAGCCCCCCAUCUCCACCCACAUCUUCCUUUGAUCCUUAUACAUCCUCUUAUCCUAAUCCUGGACCUGACAUAUCCACUCCUUCCAAUACAUCACCUACACCAUCUCCUUCCAAUACAUCUCUUACAUCACCUACACCAUCUCCUUCAUCAUCUUCUUCCCCUAUAUCUCCACACGAACCUCCUCUUCCGCCUCUCCUUUAUACCUUUUGCACGACGCCCUAAAACUACCACCAUCUCUCAACCAGAAAUCACCACAUCUCAACAAGCAACUUCUACCUCCCAACCCGAAACUUCCUCCUCUACCUCGUCCUCGUCCCUCUAAUUUGCGUCAUAAUCCUAAACCCUCUCAACCAUAUAAUCCUGCCUCCUAUCAUACUACUACUAUUCCUACCGAACCAGCCACCUUUAACGUUGCUAAAAAAUCGCCUCAAUGGCGUCAGGUCAUGGCCGACGAGUAUUCUGCUCUUCAACGCAACAUCCCCUACACCUCCUACAUCACCUACACCAUCUCCUUCCAAUACAUCUCUUACAUCACCUACACCAUCUCCUUCAUCAUCUUCUUCCCUUACAUCUCCACACGAACCUCCUCUUCCGCCUCUCCUUUAUACCUUUUGCACGACGCCCUAAAACUACCACCACCUCUCAACCAGAAAACACCACAUCUCAACAAGCAACUUCUACCUCCCAACCCGAAACUUCCUCCUCUCUACCUCGUCCUCGUCCCUCUAAUUUGCGUCAUAAUCCUAAACCCUCUCAACCAUAUAAUCCUGCCUCCUAUCAUACUACUACUGGUCCUUAGUGCCUCCUCCAUCGAAUGCUAAUGUUGUUGGUUGUAAAUGGGUCUAUAAGCUCAAAAGGGGUCCGAAUGGGGCAAUUACACGUUACAAAGCGUGUCUUGUUGCAAAGGGUUAUCGUGAGCAACAUGGUCUUGAUUAUCAUGAGACUUUUAGUCCAGUUGUCAAAGCGACUACAAUUCGGGUGGUUCUAUCCUUGACAGUCUCACAGAAUUGGCCCUUACGACAACUUGAUGUUCAAAAUGCCUUCUUACAUGACGCUCUCACACAGACAAUCUACUUGCAACAACCACCGGGUUUUGUUGAUCUGGACAAACCUGAUCAUGUUUGUCUUCUCCACAAGUCUCUCUAUGGACUUAAGCAAGCUCCCUGAGCAUGGUUUCAUCGGUUGUUGACAGCACUUCAUGCUCUUGGUUUUCGUGUAUUUAAAACGGACCCUUCACUUUCUAAAUACUCCUCUAACGGUGUUCUCUUGUAUAUGCUUGUUUAUGUUGAUGACAUUAUUCUCACAGGAAACAGUACCGCUGAUAUCGACCGGGUUGUUCAGAAUCUUAGUCGCACUUUUGCUCUACAAGAUUUGGGGUCUUUAUCUUAUUUUUUAGGGGUUGAAAUUGUUAAAUAGGGGUCCGACAUUGUUUUGUCUCAAAGAAAAUACAUACUCGAGCUACUUGAACGAGCGAAUUUGUCUAAUGCCAAAUCUGUAUCAUUUCCGAUUACUACCACCACCAAUCUUGCCCUUGGCGACAUUCCACCAUUUGAAGACCCGAUUAAAUAUCGCCAAACAGUUGGUGCACUUCAAUAUGUGACUCUUUCAUGCCCGGAUAUUUCGUUUACGGUAAACAAAGUGUGUCAAUUUAUGCACUCUCCGAAUCAGAAUCAUUGGUCUGCGGUUAAACGCAUUUUGCGUUACUUACUUGGUACAGUAACAAGUGGACUUUUAUUUCAACGCAAUUUCGAUAGUGUUCUUCAUGCUUACACAGAUUCCACUUUUAAUGCCUUGAAUGCUUUCUCUGAUUCUGACUGGGCUGGUUGCCCGGAUGACCGUCGAUCCAUCAGGGGAUAUGCUAUAUAUCUCGGUUCUAAUCUUGUCUCAUGGUCUGCUAGGAAACAAAAGACUGUCUCGCGAUUAUCAACAGAAUCUGAGUACAAAGCCUUAGCUGAUAUAGUUGCUGAACUCACAUGGCUUCAAACUCUUCUACAGGAACUACGAUUUUCUACUCGUAUUGUUCCAGUUCUAUGGUGUGAUAAUCUUGGUGAUACAUACCUAUCUGCUAAUCCUGUCUUUCAUGCUCGUACCAAACAUGUUGAGGUUGACUUUCAUUUUGUUAGAGAAAAGGUUGCCCGAAAACAACUCCUGGUUCAGUUCAUCAAUACAGAUGACCAGAUUGCAGACGUGCUCACCAAACCGCUACCUUCUCACCGUUUUUAGUUCUUGCGGUCCAAGCUAAGAGUCGCUCCCCGACCUUAGCUUGCGGGGAAUAUUAGACAAAUGUUAUAAAUAUUAGGCAUCAAUUACAUGUUUAUAAUCUAGAGGGAUCGUAGUCUAAAUAUAUGUAUUAUUAAUACUUAUGUAAUCGUGACAUUCUGAGACAUAAUAUACAAUUCACGUUUUACCAAGUUAUCCGAUUUUAAAUAAGUUUUUAUGUUCAUAAAUAUUUAUGGCACAAUUACUUGUUUUUUUUUUUUUUUUUUUUUUUUGUGUGUGUGUGUGUGUGUGUGUGUAAAUUUCUAGUAGCCACAUGAUUAUUUGUAGCACAUAUCUAUUUAUUUGCCACAUGAUUAUUUGUAGCACAUAGCAUAGUGAGUUUCCCCCAAAAUACCAAUACACAAGCAAAUAGCAUAAAUAUAAUAACAACAUGCAAUGAGUCCACAACUAACAGACUGGAUUAUCCCUGAGCCCACAGCACAAGUUUGGCUUGCCCCCUGGACCCACAACUUAUGUCUGGCUUGCUCCCUGGCCUGAUCAGUCCUCAGACUGAAUACCACUAAGCCGUCAGUAUGAGUCUGGCAUGCACUUCCCGGCCCUCAGCUUGUAUCUGGAAUGCUCAUGUGCCCUUAGUAUGAGUUUGGCAUGCCUUCCCCAACCCUCAUCUCAUAUCUGGUUUGCUCCAGGGUUUGUUGGCUACAACACGGAGCAAUACAACCUCAACCACCAUACAUAAUAUGUCAACAUAUAACAGAUAAUAUCAUAUACAUAUAAACAGGCAGUUACAUUAGUCUUACAGAUCUACCAGACUAGCAUAUCAAGAGUAGUAUGCAUAUUUAUACCAUACUCAACAUAUCAACAACAUCGAGUUAUGAAACCAAUGUGCCGACCUUGGUGUCUUCGACCCGAAAGUAUAGUGAGGAAAACUCACCUCACAAGCUACAGAAAAUUGAUAAGGCUCGACUCCGAAUCUCAGCUCUCAACUCGAAUGCCUACAACCACCAAUUGACCAAUUCCAUCAAAAUCCCAAAAAUACCCAAAAUACCCUCAAAAGUCAAACUUGGUCAAACAUCAUAAUUCCACUAAGUCAACCCAAUCGAGUUAACUCAAAUUGGCUAAUCCAUGCGAGUAUGUGGUAAUGUGGAGCGUACCAGAGGUACGCUCAACGUACGUAAGCCUUGCAUUGACUGAUUACUUGAAUACCUGAUUUUCUUUCAAAAUAAAAUAAAAACAAUAUACUAGUUAUAAUAACUAUUGAAUUUGUAUUUAUUUAUUAAUUUACAUAGUUAUUGACUUCACUAUUAACUUCUAUAAAAUGGUUUGUGAUAGAAAUAAUAACCAAAUUCAACCUGAAACAAAUGUCAAAUCUCAAUUCAACCAAAUUCAUAUAUUGUUGUAAUAAUAUAUAAUCCUAUAGUAAAUAUGGCGUGAACAUUCAGGGAAAAAAAAUGGGAUAUAUCUUGGCAAAGAAUAUAAGAUUCUCUAGAGAUCCUCUGUCCCCAACUUUCAAAUUUGUUUAUUUUGAAAAAAAAACUAAUUUGCAUACAAUUUUAGUUACAUAGUUACAAAUACUAAAUGAGUUCCAUAUUUGGAUAAGGUAAUGUCCAUAAUUGCGUUGCUGCAUCCAUGAUCUUGCAACCCUAACCCAAACUUCAAUUAUAUAAAUAACUAGUUUAUAACCCGCAGAAACCGUGGUUACGAAAUUAAAUCAAUUGUUAUAGCAAAAAUUCAUAAUUAUUAAUCAAGUAUUUUAAAUAAAUUAUUAAUUAAAAGAUAUACCAAAUUUUUAAAGUUAGUUAUAACUUCAAAUUUAACAUAUAAUUAAAAAAGUAAAUGUUUCUAUAAAAAGUUUAAAAUCUAUUAUUUAAAACCUUAACCUCGUUAAUAAUGAUAGUGAUUUGCCUAAUAUAUCUCCUUGACAUAUGUCAUAAUAUUAAUGUUGAAUUGUAUUAGAGUUACACAUGACAAAAGAAGAUUGAAACUAUUCUUUUAUUAGUAUAGAGAUUUAUAAUUUAUAUGAAGAAAUGCCACAUAUAUCAUUUAUCUAUUAAUAAAUGAAACUUUUUAAACAAAAGGUCCAUGUAUUUUAUCUUAUGUCCAAGUAGAACUCUUGCUACAAGAAACAAAAUAGAAUUUUGUCAUCGGUUAUACCUACACAAAUGCAUUGUAAUUCUUCUUGUUGUUAUAGUUCAAUGCAAUAAUCAAUUAUUUAUGUAUAAAAUUAAGACACAAGUGUCAUUUUGAUAUUUAAUUAGCAUAAAUGAUCAAAAUAAAAGGAAGGUUUUUUUUCCGGGUAAUACCCAAAAUACCUAAACCCGACCUAAUACCCGACUUACUUGUAACCGAUUACCUAAAUUUUAUUCAGUUCGGUUAUCGACUAUUCUUUUAUUAGAUAAUACUCGAUCUACCCUACGUGAACUACCCAAAACCCGAAAGUUAUACCCGAUCAAAACCCUACAUAUGUGAACUUGUAGAUGGUAGUUUUCCAUCAACUUGGUGAUUAGUAGGAAUGAUUGAGUUGACAACUAUUGUUGUUGUUGUUGUUGUGUUUGUGUUAGGCAAAGUAGUUCAAAUAUAAACAUUUUGACUGAUUAGAGUUUCAUAAUCUUAAGUGGUUUUCGGAGGAGCAAAAAGUAAAUCACGGUCAUUAUUAAAGUUAGGAACAUAAACAGGUGAAGCCGGAUUUGAACAAUAUGACGAACCAUUUGGGAACUAAAUUGUUCACGAUCUAUUUUCCUACUAUAAAAUCUGUCAAACUAAACAUCGAUACUUUAUUCGAUUACUCAAGUGAGUUUUUUAAAUGUAACAUCCAUAAAGUUCAAGCCAAUUUAAAACUUUUUAAAUCAUUCAAAAAUCGAUAAUCAUUACAAACAUGUUUUCAAAAUGGUUUAAAAGUAUCCCAUAAUCAAAUUAUAAAAACGUAAGGAGCUGCACGAUCACGCAUUUGCCUUCCCGCGAUCAUCAGAAGUACUUUAAACAAAAUCAACAACUGUAAGCCCGAAGCUUAGUGAGUUUCCCCAAAAUACCAACACCAUACAAUCAUAAUCAUAUCAUAAAAUCAAACAACAUGCAUAAUGAGCCAUCAGCCUGACUGGACCGCGUCGCAGGCCUUUAGUCUAUCUGGACCGCUCUCAGAGCCUUCGGCACGUUUGGACCGCCUCUUAGGGCCUUCAGCCUAUUCGGACCGCUCGUCGGGCCUUCGGCCUGACUAAGAUGCCCUCCAGGGUCUGUAGUCUAUCCGGUCCACCCAGGUAUGUUGGCCUUCAACACAAAGCAGGUUCGCCUUAACCCAACCCCAAUCAAACAAUCAUGUGCACAUAAAUAUCAUACGAUAGCAUGUAUAUAACAGUCAAACUGAUCUAACAGAUCACUAAUCAUAGCAACAUCCUAUAACCAAGAUACCGACCAACAAGCAUAACAUGCAAAUAACCCAGAUACAAAUCCGAAAAGGGCCGACAUUAGUGCCUUCGACCUUGUUAGUAUAGUGAGGACAACUCACCUCAGAAGUAGCUCGGAAUGAUAAUGUCAAAUUCAUCCAAAUACUGUUCCAACUCCAAGACCUACAUCCACCAAUGAUCCACUUCCAUAAGUUCCUAAAUUACUCAAAUACCCCUAGAGGUCAAACUGGUCAAUCCUUGGUCAAAAUCAAAGUCAAUGGUCAAGGUCAACAGUCCAUGUUGACCCAAUGUGUCGAGUGCAGUUCACUGACUCGUCGAGUCCUUCCAGGACUCGAGAAAUCAUGAAAACGCUAGUUGACUCACCGAGUUUCCAAACAACUCGUCGAGUCCAUGCGUGUCCAAAUGUCGGGAAAACCCUAAUGGACUCGUCGAGUCGUCUCAUUGACUCGCCGAGUCCUUGUAGAAACCCACCUCGUCCAAUCUUCAUUCGACUCGUCGAGUUAACUAGGCAACUCGUUGAGUCCCUUCAGUCAAUUUCUCAUUCAAACAAUUUUAAGCUACCCUAAAGCUCCAAAUGGCAGAUCUAACCUCCUAGGGCAUGGUUUCCACGUAAAGUUGCAAAAUUUACGUACAUGUAUGGUCCUAAAUGCCAAAACCAAGCUAAGGGAAAGGUUUAACCCAAAGAGAAGGGCCAAAGCUUGCUAAAUCUAAUAACUUUAUGAGUAUAGGGACUUAGAGGAGUCCACAUCUGAAGUUACAACUUCAGAUCUUGCCCAAUACCCGAAAUAACCCUCAAUCAACUAGAAAAUUGCCUUAAACCUUUACAUGAAGAGAGCUAGCUAAAGAUAAGUCAAGGUAACGACUUGUUACCUUCAAAAUGAUGUCAAGAUGAAGUAGAGUUGGAUCCACCAGCUUCUCUUUGCUCCAAGCUCCUUAGACUUCAAGCCUUCUUCACAAGAUCCACCUUCCAAGCUUCUUUACACACAAUAAUGGAGAGUACGCGAGAUUAGGGUUUUCUGAGCUCAAGAGGGACGGUAAGGGAGGCCGAGGGAGGCUAAUGACCCUUUAAAUAGGGUGCAAAACCCUGGAAAUUAGGGUUUCAUUUUCCAGCUCCUACUCGUUGAGUUGGGAUCCUCCGACUCGUCGAGUAGUCCUCAUAAAUCACGCGGGCUGACUAAAACUCUACACUCUAACUCGUCGAGUAGACUUCCUUAAUUGCAUGAUAUCCCUAAAUCUCAUUCUUGAAAAUUGGGAUGUUACAACUCUCUCCCACUUGAACUAGGCUUCGUCCUCGAAGCCUACUGCAUUGGACACAUUCGAACAAUGCUCUUGCAUUCCAACCUCUGACUCCCAAACCCAAUCGUAUCCCUUUCGACACUGCCACUUAUACAUAUACCAAAAGUACCUCCUUGUUAUGCAGAACCUUUACCUCUCGUUCCAAGACGACCACCGGCCUCUAGACGUAGUUCAGGCGUUCAUCGUCGUGAAGAUCACUUAAUGAUGCCACGACGUCCUCGCCUAACACGCACUUCCGCAACCGCAAGACAUAAGAAGUGUUGUGAACCUGACCAAGCUCCUCCAGGAGACCCAAUCAAUACGAUGCCUUUCCAACCUUGGCAAAACCCGAAAUGACCUGAUAUAUCGGAAACCCAAAUUCCCUUCUUCCUAAAGCAGACCGCACCAUGAAAACCUGAAGUCCUUCCCAGAACACAAUCAUGGAUCAUACGCGGCUGCCGAUAAUUCUCUACUGGAGAAAAGAUUAUAUAUUCUUUCAAGGGAACUUAUUCGAUGACCGAAUUUUCAGAGAUAAUAGGGACUACGGGAGGCAAACUAGGAGAUGAACCCUUGUUGUGCCGACAGGAUAAUGCUCCCUUCAGCUCCCGAAUCUACAUAUAAUAACAGUUAACUGCUAACGCAUAACCACAAACACCUGUGACUGGACUGAUCAGCCUCGGGCUGGAAUAUCAAUAUGUCGAAUCCAAUUAACCACCGGAUUGAAAUCCUCAGGGUUUGCCGACCUACCGCCUCAACCCUACCACCCCUCCUGGCCUUCGUUCCUACGACUUACAGUCGACCCACACCGGGUAUCUUGGCCUACUAUCGCAACCCUACUGCUCCUCUUGAGUCUCCGUGCCUACGACUUACAGUCGGCCCGCACCAGGUAUCUUGGUCUACUGCAUCAAGAAGGACCGCCUCAACACUCCCAACACAAUGUGUUGCCAUAGAUAAUCAGGAGCAAGAUCUAACCUGGUUCUCAGAACCUGACAUACAGGGAUGCUCUAAUCCAACAACCCUCGAUUCAUAUAGAUGAUAUCAUACCUUUCGCCUGCUACUCGCGAUCCACCCUACAAGCAAAAGUUUUCCCCCAUUUACCUCACCAACCUCCAGAGUGCAUGCCUCACACGGAUGCACAACGUAAGUUUCCGCUAUAAGACAUCUUGAAAUGGCCGUCCAUGAUCCACCUCAAGUUCCUGACAGAAACUACCACAAAUCAUGCAGAAAAGACCCUCAAACAGGUUAAUAGUGAACCUUUCACAUUCCAAAUCCAUAUAAUACACAAAGACCUUAGUAUAACCUCUGACUCUUUACCAUGCCAUUACCAAUCUCUGGAGCGACGAACGGAGAUGAUCAACCAAUAACUUCCACAUUACAUCUGAUCCUUAACAACAACUUACAAACAAGCACGGAUACGGGGCAACCAUUCCCCAUAUGCAUUAUGAUACCCGACUGACACUCCCAACGGUCAUUGACCAUUUCCUAUCCAAACCAACUAGUUAAUGGGUCUUUCGAUCUCCAUCAACGCAUCAAUUCGGGCUAUUUGGCCUGCAGCCCAUGGCUGGAAUGCCCCUACCAGGUCCUCAGUCCAUGGCUGAAAUGCUCCUAAUCUCAUACCGACCUUGUCGGUAUUACAUUGAUUGUCCAUCCUCAUGAGUCCUAGAGAUACUCUCCUCCUUUCACUGCCUUGAGGGGACCUAAUCGCUGUCCCACACAACACCAAACAAGCAUCACAAUACAAAAGUCCUACCAUACACGAUUUCCUUUUAGAACAAAUUGUUGCCCAAGAGUCUUCAGGCUCUCUUACAUGACCGUCGACAUUCCCCAAGGGCACCCCAUAGGUGAUAACCAACAAGCACAACUAACAUAUAGUUCCACGGGUUAUUAUCACAAAACAGUACGCUCAUUGCCAAAACGUAGAUCCAAUAAAAUACAUACAGAGUCUUCAGCAUGACUGGACUGCCUCACCGGACCUCCAGCCUAUCUGGACCACUCUUAGAACCUUCAGCAUGUCUGGACCGUCUCUCUGGGCCUUCAGCCUGUCUGGACCAUUCUCCGGGCCUUCGGCCUGAUUGGUACGCCCUGCGGGCCUUCAGUCUAUCCAAACCGCCCUAAGUCUGUUGAGCAUAACCUUGGACUCAUCCUGGUGCCCUCUCCCAUAUAGCCAACUCUCUCCCACUUAGGGUUUCAAACUCCUGAUCCAAUCCGCAGACUAUAAUCCCGACCUAACUCUAGAACUCAUGUUGAUCGCCCACCCUUCUCGGGAAACCGUGGUCUGAUCCCUGACCCGCGUAUCCACCACAUAAGCUAAAGAACCCGCACACUCGUGUCGAAAGUACCAUCGAACCCUGUUAGCUAAACAUAACCCUCAGUGGCUGAUGCUCCAUCUGAGAAUUCCCAAUUCACCCCCACUUGGGACACUAACCACUACCUACUGGUUAGAAAUCAGCUCGAGCAUAGCAGAAAGUCACCCCGGGAUAUAACUUACCCAAUACAACAACAUUCGAACACAAUACAAUUUCAUGAUAUUACCCCGAAGAAUACAGGAGAUGUCACACUCUCAAGAGCAUUCGAAGAAAUCUUGACUUCUUCCUCCUGGGUUACCCUGACCAUCGUGAGGGUAUGCAGGAAAACUCCCCCUUCAAUCCCAGGUGACAUGAAUUGAUCCCUGUUUGCAAUCCAACAGAUAAUCUGGCACCCGACCUAUCUUGAGAAUAUGUUACCUACUUGCCUCGCAAGAUGUUCUCGCCACAUUAACUCACCUGUGCUUACCAGUUCUGAAAUACUGCUGCCAACUUCUGCGACCAACGGACCCCAGGCUGGAAAUACCACCUGACCCUGGGUCACAAGCCUGCUCCCUCCUGUGAACUCGGAGGAACUGAAAGGGUACAACCCGUGCCAUAGAUGAUAAAAUUCCGAUCCACCGAUCAACCAUUCUACUGCCCAUCCUCUAAUAAAUCUCUGAACUCUAACUACCUACAAUCUUUUGAUAAUAAAAUUCUCCUGGCACCUCUAGUGACCUAACGACUUAUGAGCUCCGCCACACAUAGAUUAAACAAAAUAGGUAACUAACCCGAAGUUGUUGCUUACCCAUACUCAACGAGAUUCCAAGGCAAGACCAAUACAGAUCAAAGACGAUUUGACCAUAAUAUUAUUACAGAAUGAGGGGGGAGGGGGAGGUUUCCAAUUACAUGCCUGAGAUUUCUUGCGGCUCGACUUUGACCUCCUGAGGAACAACUACCUGAGAUUUUCCGCCCCCAACGUAGGACAGUUGGACCUGAAAUGACCUGGCUGGUGACAGUGAAAGCAUAUAUGAUCCUUCUUGCAAUCCUGUUGCACAUGCCCUCUUUCUCCGCACUUGUAGCACCGAAUUUGUGACAAGCAAAUCUGUGGGUUCCCCCACACUUUCCACACACCUCCUGACCUUCCUGAUUUCCAGUACCCAGGUCAGCAACCUCCAACUCUUCGUCCUCUGCUGAAAAUUCCCUCCUCUUUCCUAGUUAUGACCCCCGAAUGGUCAUCCCAGCAGCAACGUCUCUCACAGUUUGUAGCACUGCAAUUUGCUCCCCGAGCUUGGCGAUCACCCUGGAGGUGACCCGGUUUACGACACCCAACAAUUCUUCUUGAAAAAUCUGAGAUACCUCUACGGAAAUCAUCUCCUGCGUUUGAUCAAAAGACAAUACCGACCUAUCCUGGCCACUAGCUCUUCCCCCUGCCGUUGUUACAAUUGUUGAAGUUGCUACGUCAGCCGUCUCAGUAAUGGCUGCAUAGCGCUCUUCAAAGUACUUCACCAUGGAGGUCUUAAUAGACCCAAACAUCUCCGACCCGUACAAUCUCGACCACCUCCUCCCAAAUAAUCUCCCUGACGCGAUCCUCUGUCACCGCUGGCCUAUCCUGGCUGCCAGCUCCUGAUCCUAACCCAGAUCCGGCCUUAAAUCGUCUCGUAACCACCAUACUGAAAGUAUACCAGGAAGAUAUCAUAUAAUACGCAUAAACAACGAGGAACCUACUCCCAACCAAACCCUAGGGGUUGUGACUUCCUUGCUACACAUAUGGGUCUUGUCCUUUUAGUAGUACGGGUCCAUACUACCUUCCACACCUACCCAUAUUCGUCUCAAGUAUCAUCACAACGCCCUAACAAUAUAUAUAAACAUGGCGAGCUCUCAAUCCUCACACCUAGAGGAAUGCUAAAUAUCUCAUAACUGGCCUCCCGGUCUCGCACUACCCACCCAUCCAUGAAACUUCCACCAACUCUGCAACACUCGUGGAUGCUAGCCAUACAUAACGCUGGACCUUAUAGACUUUCGAAUACUUGAUCCUAACCUAAGCCCUUAAUCAGACAAGAACAAGAAAUAAGGCCAAACCAAACAUUCUCAGGCUAUAAGAUCUUAAUUAUGUACGGCCGUGAUGCAUACACUAAGCAACUACAAUAAUGAUGUUAAUUUCACAUAAGGAAAAACCCUAGGCUAGCAGGCAACAUAUAAUCAAGCAAUUCUAUCAUGCAAUUCCUGAAGAUCCCUAGCCUAGUACUAGCAUGUUGUUCUACUUCGCUGGCUCCGGCUGAUCGUACACUUGCAUCCUCCUUUAGUAUUUUGAAAACCAUUUGAAAAAUCAUUUUAAAAUCUUGUCCUUAGUUUGAGACUAGAGACACACGAGUGUUUCCUCCAAUGCACUCAAACCAAGGCUCUGAUACCAACUUGUAACAUCCAUAAAAUUAAAGCCAAUUUAAAACUUUUUAAAUAAUUCAAAAACCAAUAAUUAUUAUAAACAUGUUUUCAAAAUGGUUUAAUGUCAGAGUAUCCCAGAAUCAAAUUAUAAAAACAUAAGGAGGUGUACGAUCACGCCUUCGCCUUCCCGCGAUCAUCAGAAGUAUCUAAAACAAAAUCAACAACCGUAAGCCCGAAGCUUAGUGAGUUUCCCCAAAAUACCAACGUCAUACAAUUAUAAUCAUAUCAUAUAAACAAACAGCAUGCAUAAUGAGCCAUCAGCAUGAUUGGACCACCUCGUAGGCCUUCAGUCUAUCUGGACCGCUCUUCGAGCCUUCGACACGUCUGUACCACCUCUCAGGGCCUUCAACAUAUCCAGACCCCUCAAUCGACUAGAAAAUGGCCCUUAGCAAUAUUUCGGGUAUUUCGGAGACAUUUUAGCGUUUGUUAUAAUUAGGGAUAUAUCCCUAAUGAAAAACCCUCAAAUAAAGACAAUUUUUGCAAUAUGAAACUAUUUUGGACCUUAGCAAAAAAAAAAAAUAGAAUCAUUUUUAUAGUUUUUUCAAAAAAAGAACUAUAGUUAAAAAAUUAAUAAUUAGACAAAAUUGCAAAAAUGGUCCCUAUGGUAUGCAUUUUUUUGGGGUUUUGGUCCAAGCCCCGACUUUUUUGGAUUGAUGGUCCUUUUGAGCUAGUUUCGUUGCGUAUUUGGUCCCUCCGAAAAUUAAAAUGACUAUAAUACCCUUAGUGUAUUUAUUUUCUAUUUUUCUUUCAUUUUAUUUUUAAAUUUAAUACUUGUUUAAUUACUUUAAUAUUUAAAAGAUAAGAGCUCUCUCUCUCUCUCUCUCUCUCUCUCUCUCAUCGAUCAAGGUUCAGACUCCAACUUUCACUCUUCCCUUUCUUGUUUAUUGGAAACUCAUAUGAUGUUCUUCAAACCUCACACAAUACUAAACACCAAAAUUAGCCCAUAUCUUGAACUUAAUAUUCUAAGCGAUGCUUACCAACCAUUAUCUCAAUCAUAGAACCUGUUUCGUAUAUGAAAGCUUUACAACAGCACUUUGAAUAUUCAAAGUUACACACACAUAGUUAAUGGGCACAAGUUUAUGAUGUUUGUGCUUUAGCCAUUGUAAUAUGUACAAGAUAACCCAGAUUCCCAUCAUCUUCAUUAUUAGUUCCUAACGAGACCAUCAUCAGCUACCGAUUAUCACUAUCUUCGUCCCUUGUUCUUGCUUGUUUGUGACCCCAUUUGCAGAUCAGAGUGACGAGGAGGAAUAAGGCAUGUCAUCAUCUUCGUGAUCUCUUUCUGGUGAUAGAAUAUCCCGUAACAGAAGUAGAUGGAAUGUGAUGGGUUGUUUGCUGUCGAGAUAUGAGAGAAUAGCGAAGUAGAGAGAAGGGUGGUUGGGAGAGAAGAAAUCAUCAAAUUAGGGAAAGAGUGAGUACCAUUUUCUUCCCCAUCCCUUCUUGUUGGUUUUGUGAUUUUAGGUAUUUGAAAGUUCCUCAAUCUUGAAAAUGAUUACCAGAUUCAUGUUGGUUUAGUGAUUUUAGGUAUUUGAGUUUGGGGAAGAAAAAGGGAGGGAAAGAUGUAUAAAAUGAGGUCUGAUUUAAAGUUAAAGCGGUUGUAACUGGGUUUGAUUACCACAAUUGUAUCGAAGAAUGAAAAUGAAGAACUGGUUUAUGAAGGAACGGUUGAAUUUUAGGUCUGGUAUACUAUUGAAGAACAGAUUGAAGAACUAGAGAGAGAGAGAGAGAGUGUGUGUGUGUGUGUGUGUGUGUGUGUGAGAGAGAGAGAGCCAAAUUAAUUAACUAUUUUCUUUUUCCUUUAAAUUAAAAUGAAAAAACAUAAAAAUGAUAUUAGAAAGAGCAUUUUAGUCUUUUCAGUUUUCCGAGGGACCAAAAUCACAAGCAAACAUGGUCAAAAGGACCACGGAGCCAAAAAAAUCAGGGUUUGGACUAAAACCCUAAAAAAAUGCAUACCACAGGGACCAUUUUUGCAAUUUUGUCUAAUAAUCUACCCUAAUAAAUGAAAAUGACUUUGCCACAUGUCAUCUUCUCAUUCAUUUGGACACAGUUAAAUUAAAAUCCACAUUUAAUAUAUAAGGUAAUAUAUAUGUAAGGUAUUUAUUAGAAAAUGGUUUAUAUAUGUAAUGUAUCUAAUGCAUUAAAGUCUCAUUAAUUUUAAUAAUUCAAAAAAUUUCUUAUUUUUCUUAUAAAUUUAAAGUUUUCAAAUUGUUAAAAUUUUAUAUUUAAUUUUUUUUAAAUAAACCCAUGUAAUACAUGGGUUUCACACCUAGUUAUUAUUAAAUAAAAAACAUUUCAAACUAUUAUUUUCGAACGGCCAUAUGAUAAUAUUAGUAUUAUAUAAAAAAAAAAUAAAGUAGACCCGCAAGUUACUCAGUCAUAAGAGUAAUUUGACUGGUUAAUAAUAUGCAAAAUUUGGAAAGUCUCAACUAAAGUUUCCAUAUUUUCAAGUUAUUUAAUACUUUAAGAUUUAUAUACUUUAAUAGUUAUGAUUCUUAUGAACAGUAACCAUGGUAUUCUUUUGGUGGUUUCCUGUUUCUGCUUCUCGGAUUGGUUUUUGUGAUCUUCCAUUGGAUUUGAGUCGGUCGGUUGUCUUUCUUGCAUGUUUGCCGUGUGUGGGGUUAUUUCCAGCUGAACAAUGCCUAUUCCAUUGAGCUUCCGCCAGCUGUGCUUCCCCUUUUUGCCACCUCUUGUCUCACCGCCGUUUCCUUCCAAUAAGAAAUCUCUUUUCAAUACAGAUUAUCCAUCGCCUUGACCUAUUCCACAGGGGCUUUGCUUUCUUCUGCACACGAAAAACAUAAAUCGAUGCACACAAAAAUCGGAUAUAUAUAUAUAUAUAUAUAUAUAUAUAUAUAUAUAUAUCUUUUCCUUUAUUCUUCUAUUAUCUCAGUUUGUUUGCACACAGGGCCUGGACCACCAACACCACUAUACACAUUCUCCAUCCCUGCGACGACGUCGGAAAGGAAAGCCAUCGCAGUAAACUAGGGUUGUUAUUAUCUGAAUAGAGGGCGGUGGUGGUGAUUUCUGUAAGAUUUUAGCAAGAAGUGAAGCAUACGACUGUUUUUAUGUGCGUAUUUCUGGAGAUUUUUUUUAUUUUUUAUUUUUUUUUAUCUCGAAUCAGGUAACUAAUGAUGUCUAAUUCUUUCAUAUUUUAUCAACAUACAACGAAGUAGCUUCGAUAAUGUCUUAUGUGCAGCCUUUUGUUUAGUAUUUGUUGUCUCUGCAUUUAUAAGUUACCAUAGUCAACAACUUCUAUUUUUUUCGUAUAUGUAUAUAGCAGAUAUUAACUUUUACCUUGGUUUUCAAAGGGUAGUGAUCUUCUAACAUUCAAUCUACUUUGUUGGGAGAUGACAUUAUACUCCUUCUCGGUAUUUUUUUGAAGACGGUGUUGUUAUGAAUGAUACUUCUUCAGAAGUAGAUUUUUCAAUAUCUGUAAUAAUGAAGCGAAUGUUGUUGUCUGUUGAUGUAUUUGUCAUACGCCUUUUCAUUUUUUUUGUAUGCCUUGUUAUAUAAUGGCAAUUGGUGGAAGUUCUUUUCUAUGGUCUGCGUCAUCCUCUAAUACAACAGUCAUGGAAUGGCUUUCAUCCAUAAUUAUUGAAAUUAGUUUGUACCUACACGUAUGUAUCACUAAAUUUAUGCUAAAUUUGAUUUUUUUUUUUUUUAAAUAACAUUUUCUACAGAAGUACACUUACGUGCUAGUUGGAGAGCUGAGUAUGCCAUCUAACGAACAAAACCAAUUUUUGCCUUGUUUAAAAGUUGAAGUUUUGCAGUUUGGUGGACAGUUAACCUGUUACCAACAGUCUGAGAAGAUGUAUUCACUUAUGGAAGCCCUUAUGGUAAAAGUUUUGUUCUGUAUAACAUACAUAGAAACUUUUUUGUAAUUUGUAUAAAAACAUAAACAUAAAGUUUCUUGUUUAUGUUGAUAUGUGGAUGGAAGUGUAACAUACUGUAAGAUUUGAAUGACUUUUCUCGAUUAUUUCUGACAAUAGUAUUGGGGAAUAAAAAAUGACAGGUGACUGAAGGAAUGUUUUGUAACUGCAACAUGCAAAUAUCAUCACCAUCAACAUUAUUUUGGUAGGUUACUAACGAAUGUGAAUCCUGUGAACAUUAAUGAUGAUGAUAUUGCAAUAAGUUUGUGGAAAGAAUGCACUAACACCGGAUAUAUAGAAACUUUUUUAUAAUUUGUAUAAAAACAUAAAAUAAAGUUUCUUGUUUAUGUUGAUAUGUGGAUGGAAGUGUAACAUACUGUAAGAUCUGAAUGACUUUUCACGAUUAUUUCUGACAAUAGUAUUGGGGAAUCAAAAAUGACAGGUGACUGAAGGAAUGUUUUGUAACUGCAACAUGCAAAUAUCAUCACCAUCAACAUGUAAUGCAUUAGAUCAUAUUUUGUAGGUGUCUUCACUAAGCUGAUUAACUGCAGAAAAAAUACAAAGAACCAUAUCUGCUACUAAUUCUAAAAAAUGAAUUGUAAGUAAUAUAUUUUCAACCUUAUUUUGGUAGGUUACUAAUGUAUGUGAAUCCUGUGAACAUUAAUGAUGAUGAUAUUGCAAUACAUGUUGACACUAGUUAUAGCCACUACAGCAGGAGCAACAACACUUUGAAGAGCUGUACGAUCAAACUUUGAAGUUGUGUUAGUGCAUUCUUUCCACAAACUUAUUGCAAUAUCAUCAUCAUUAAUGUUCACAGGAUUCACAUACGUUAGUAACCUACCAAAAUAAUGCUGAAAAUAUAUUACUUACAAUUCAUUUUUUAGAAUUAGUAGCAGAUAUGGUUCUUUGUAUUUUUUCUGCAGUUAAUCAGCUUAGUGAAGACACCUACAAAAUAUGCAAGCAAAUAAUGUUAAUUUACAAUACGCAUGCACACUAUGUUAGGUAGAAUAGAAAUAGUUAUUAUUACACGUUAAUAAUGUAUGUGAAUUUUCUUUUUCAAUAUAUGUUUCAUGUUGACAUAUAUUAAAACCUGCAUGUCGGUUUGUGUAAUUUGGUAUCUGUUUUUUGGAAAUGAAGUUAAACCAAUAUUUGGGAAUGCUACACGUCUGGAACAGUUGUAAUAGACGACGCCGUCCCAAUAGUUAUAUAAACAUCAUUGUCCAGCCAUUUUUGAUAACGAUCUGGCACUCCACAUCCAUACUUCUCGAUUGUAUAGCACCUAGAAGGUAUGAGAACGGAUUGUAGAAAACUCUGAUCUUUUCAUUGUCCAAGAAUUUGGAUAGCAUCACCCUUAUAUAUAAUUGACAAAUUAGAGCAAGUUAGUAUAGAAUUGCACAAGAAACAGAGGUUGGCAAGGCAGUUAAUAACUUAUAUUUUUGUUAACAACCAGGAACCAUGUCUCAUGAUUUCUUAUAUGUGGUGUCCAUAUACGCAAGAUACAAACCUAAAUAUGAUAAAAACAUUAUACUUUUGUUGUCACAUAAGCAAUGGUUGUUAACAAUAUAAAUUUCUUAUGAGGAGACACUUAAUCAUAUACCUGUAGUGGUGUUCCUGGAGACAUGUCUGGUGUUAUAAUAAAAAAGGAAGUAAAUUAUGAUUUUUGAAUGUACUAAUAAAUAUAAUGUUUUAUAGAAUAGUGAAGUGAAUAAAAUAAACAUAAAUGCGUUACAUUGUUCUAUAUAAUUGUAAAAGGUAAAUAUGUAUUUGACCACUCAGUUAUUAAGAUUAUGUAUAAAGUCUUAGAAAACAACGUUUUUUGUUUUGUUUUUCUGGUAUUGUCAUCAGAAUGUAUGAGUAUUUUAACUGACUUUGGAGAUGUAGCACGAGAUAAGGCAACAUAAAGAUGCCCAUGUGUGAAAACUGAUUUUGGAUAAAUGCCUAUUUUUUUAAAGAAUGGCCUUGGCUUUUAUUAAUAGUCAUAGCGUAACAAACUUUAACUGGAAAUUGUUUCCUAAUGAAGGUAGAAGGUAUGUCAGGAGCUUUAUGUAUGAAUCUAAUACGAGGCAGAAAUACAAUUUUGCCAAUAUAAGUCCCGGUUAUAAUUGUUGCCUCUAUGACGUUUGCCAGUAACUAUGAAACCAUCAACCGUGUUCCAUUGCAUAAACCUUCCUUUUGGUUUAUGUUCCGAAUCAACAUGAUGGGUGUGUUAAUUUUCACUGAUAGUGAAUGUGUGGGUAUGCUAGGGAAGGUCAAGAUAUUAAGAUAUUCCAAUGGAUAGAAAAUAUUAAAGUCUGUAGUUUGGUUGUCAUUAAAGUUGAUACUAUCAACACUUUCAUACAUCUUUGAAUGCCCAGGACUUUUCUGUAGAACUAUGUCAUUUUUUUUUGGAUAGUUUCAUUUUUGGGACAGACAAUUGCUCUACCAGAUAAUACAACAGCAGAAGGUUUUGUUAGAAUACCAUCUCCAUAUACAAAGUUUAUAAGGGUCUAACUCAUUUUCUGGUGGAGGUAUAAUGAAUGAAUGAGGAAUUUCAACCCAUCUAGUAUUUGUUUUAUCAAAUGCAUCAAUUUCACCAAUAACCCCAUCACCAAUUGUUAGUAACCAAGAUGCAAACUCUGAGACACUUAAGUCAGUGUGCAGUGAGUUGGAGAAGUUCUUAAGUCGCAUAUUAUCAUUUAGUUUAUACAACCUGAAAUAUGGCCAUAUGAUUUAGGUAAGGUGGGGGAGAUAAGUUUAAAGGUUGUACUUCUUGGAGACAUAGGUAAUGUUUGAUGAAAGUCUCUUCCUAAUAAUAGUGACAUACCACCAAAAACUUUCGUCUCACAUUCGAGAAUAUCUUUUAAGGAGCCGUCUAGACAUUCAAAGCAACGUCUGUCACUCAUUGGUGCUUCGUCCCAUAUAAUAAUGGAAGUUUGUUUUAGUAGCUCAGCAAGCAUUGUCUUUUUUUGUAAUGUUGCAUGCAACAUUAUCUGAAAAUUCAAUCGGAAUAUUGAAUCUAGAGUGAGCAGUUCUCCCUGAUGGAAGGAGCAGGGACGUUAUACGCCUAUACCCGAAGUAGCAAUGACAUGCUCUAUUUUCCCUAUGGAACGGAAAUGAGCAAGUAAAGUAGUCCACAGGAAAGUUUUGCCAGUUCCUCCAUGCUCAUAAAUGAACAUGAGCACCUGCUGCCCUUUCUCUUAUGCGGAUUGAACUGUCUUAUAGAUGUCAAGUUGUUCAUGGUUCAAGAUGACAACAUUUAUUCAUGAGUGAGAGUCAAAAUGUCCUUAUCAUAUGUUGUUUCUUCUAAAAGAAGAUGAUUUUUUUAACAUCACCAUUGUUUCCUCCAUGGGUUUAGGUAGGUGAAAGUCAACAACAAAUCUUGAAGGUGUAGAUGAUUUAAGUAUAUGAUCCAGCUCAAAUAAAACCAUAUGUUGUACAUGGAAAUCAUUUAUAUUUAAAUCAAGAGUAGGAUUGGACAUCUUAAUGGUAUACGUCAAAUCUUUACUCAUUUUCUUCCAUCCUAUAUACCAUAAACACAUAGGAUUGUUAACAUCACAUAAAAGAAGCAAAUAGCAGAAUAGAGAGCACAACUGAGACGACGUUGCCCGAAGCUUGAAUAAAAGCAUCCAUCAACUCUCUGUCAUCCCCUAUUAGACCUAGCGCGUCACAAGCACCACGGAAAUCAGGAUAUACAGUGUUGGAAACGGUACGCAAUUCUUCAUAAGACUUACAACCUUCUUGAUGAGAAAGUAACAUCCUUAAGUAAAAUAAUUCUCUAUCUAGCAGAUGGAUGCACAAAGAUAAGUCUGCCUAGUGCAUGGGAAGUGGAGCGUUUUCUUCUUUUCCAAGCUCUUACCUCUUUGUCCCACUAAUAUUUGGUAGGGGAGGAAGUAUACGUAAGAUCAUGACCAGAUGCAUCCCACUUAUUAUUGUCAAACCAACCUAGUAACAGACUACUACCAAAAGUGGGAUGUUCAACAACCUGCUUAAUACGAGUGUUCUCUUUGAUGAAGACAGACUGCAUAUUUGGCAAAUGUACAGGCAAUAUCACAACAGGUAGAUCUCGCUCAUGAAUAGGGUAAUAAAGUAUAUGCCACGCAGCCUCCUGAGGACAUAGGAAACGACCAUCAAUGUAAUUUUUUAUCUCAUCAACUAUGAUACCUUCCGCAGAAGUAGAAGCUUCAGAAAGUUGCACAUCUUUCUGAAUUACAAACCUAGCACGUUCCAUUCCCUUUAAUAAAUACUUAAUCAUCAUGUUCCACCCACAAUAUUCAACAAUGAUAUGUGCAUUGAAACGACAACACAACCUUUUGUUAUACGGGACUAUGUACCUGUUAUCUAUUUGCACACUAUUUUGUAACAUAUGUAACGCAACCAAAUCUCUUUUAUGAUGAGCUUAUCCAUCCUUGUCAAAAAAUGUAGUAGUGCGAAAGUGUUUUGGGAAUUUUUUUACACAUACCAUCCUUUAUACAUGGAGCCUUAGUAUUGGCCAAACCACAUGGUCCAUGUAUAAGACAUCUUGUAACAGUCUCAUCUAACAAUGUCUCACAAACAGGGUCUGACAAUUCAGCGGUAAUAUAAGCAUCAAUGAAAGACAGGUCCUUUAUCUUAUGAGGAUCUGCUAUCCAUAUCAGCAAAUGACAAUGUGGCAAACCCCCCUUUUUUGGAACUCAAUAGUAUAUAAAUCUGCAACAAACCCAAAACAAAAAAAAUAAAGAAACCAGAGAAACGUACGAUCAAAUAAAUCUAAAUAAAAUUAAUUAAAGUUUUUUAAUUUGCAGCGACAGCAACUUACAUGCUGAUACUAGGCUAAAAGUUUUAUCACAUUUCAAGUAUGCAAUAAAGGCAUCAACUUUCAUCCGAAAAAAAACAUGAAAUUAUAUCAACCCUGCUGCCCACAUCAGUCUGUCGACGAACAGCCAUGUAGCAGGUGAUUUCUGGCCAACCAACAUUACAUGUAAAGGUUAUAAAAUAUUGUGGAUUCCCAUACUCGCAACAAAUAGAAAGAGCAUCCUGAUAGUGGUUAUACAUAUAUCGUGGACCACCAACAAAAGAUGGAGGCAAAAGUACACGCUUACCAAUACAUCGAAUUUCAGUAUCACCCAGUGAUAUGGCAUCGUAAAUACCACUAACAUACGCUGAUCUUAGUUGAUUUUGAUUAUGUUCAAAGAAAUCAAGACGAGAAAGUUCGAUACAGGCAUACGCAUCAACUAAAUAUUGUUGGAACAACCUACACGAAUUCAAGAGAAGGGAGUAUACACCAUUUCUUGUGUGUAUGUGGUAACUGUAAUACAUGUUAAUAGUGAGAUUCCUAGUCUUCGAACCAAUUUCAUUUAUUAGCUUCAAACGCGAAGACCAACCGUCCUCGGCGCUGGAACCGACUCCUAUCAAACUCCGACGCAUAACAACCUUCCUUAAUUACCAUUUCAUAGUCAUAACCUUUUCAAGGGUCAACUCAGGUCAAAGUCAAGGUCAAGGUCAACACCUUGGUCAAAGUCAACUUUUGGUCAAAGUCAACAUCUAGUUGACUCAACUCGCUGAGUUGGUCCACCAACUCGUCGAGUUCCAUAAUCCACCAAAAUCUUGGAACUUCAAUCCUACUCGUCGAGUUCUCCUUCAUACAGAAUCAAGACCUUUUUGCUCUUGACUCGCCUAGCUCGUCCAUGAACUCGUCGUGUCUUUCUCCAUACAAGUUGAAGCGUUUAGUCCUUGACUCGCCGAGUUCUUCCUUGAACUCGUCGAGUUCUUCUUCAUAUAAGUUGGGGGCAUUGCCUUGAACUCGUCAAAUUCUUUUGAUCUUCAAGUCCAUAUCUACGUCCAUCUUGUUGAGUCCUCUUCUAGACUCAACCAAAUCGAUCAGAACAGAAAAGGUUGGGGGAACCAUAACCCGAAUCGCCAAGUCCUAAGAGCGACUCGCCGAGUCCCCCAAAGUCUAAGUCUACCAAGUCGAUUUCAGUCGGGCUUAAUGCAUCCAUAACAUAGAUCUGACCUCCUAGGGUCGAUAUUGCACAUAAAGUUACAAACUUUACGUGCAUGCAAGGUGUUAUGAGCUAAGAACAUCAUUUCCAUGUCUAAAAUGAAGUCUAGGCCAAAGGGAAGGGCUAAAGCAUGAUAAUUUCAUAAACUUUAUGGCUAAAGGGGCUGAAAGGGAUCUGGAUCUGAAGUUACAACUUCAGAUUACACUCCAUACUAAAAAAGGUUCACAAAAUUGCUAAAAGAUAGCCCUAAACUCAAAUAUAGAGAGAUCUAGCAACAGAGAAGUCAAGGAAGCAACUUUAUACCUUAAAGGGAUUGGAAAUGGAGCUCAAACCCUGGAUCUACUACUUCCCUGAACCUUCUAGCUCUUUCUUCUUCCUCCUCUAGCUUCAAGAUCACACAAAUACUCUCAAAAAUGACUCACACACUAGGAAAAGCUCAAGGGUCACGUUAGUGUUUUUUGGACUAAGGGAGACGACAGGGGUUGCAUGGGAGGCUGGUUAAUGUAUUUAAAUAGGGUGCAAACCCUAAAAUUUAGGGUUUCAUCCAGACAAGUCUACUCGUUGAGUCGGGGCUUCCGACUCGGCGAGUAGACUCUUCCACUCGCGUCUAAUCCUUCGCAUCUACUCGACGCUUUUGGCCUCCAACUCGUCGAGUCCCUGUAUAAAUGUGAAAAAGCUUUUAAUAAAAAUACGUACCGGGAAUCGGACGUUACACUACGUUAAAUUAAGAAGCAGUACACAACAUACCUAGAAAAGAAACAGAGACAGGGAUGGAGAAUAAAAACGCAGCAACGGAAGAGGAAGGAAGAGUAAAAAAGAAAGAAGGAAGAAAUAAAGAAAAGUGAAGAAAAUUGUAUUGGAAGAGGAGGCCGGCAAGGCGACAACGAAAACAGAUAAGAAGUAAAAGAAGAAUGAGAAGUAUUGGGGCGUUUGAAUGAGAAGAAGAACUUCAGUAACAAAAGAUGAAAGAGAAAAAAAUACACUGCAGCUAAGGUUUUUAGGAAUUUAUAGUAUAUACUAAUUAAAGCUUCACACUAUUUUUUUUUUUUCUUUUCUGUUACAACAUUUUUACUUUCAAUGUUUUUUUAUCAAGACCUUUUAUUUAAAAUACUUUACAUCUUUUACUUAUAUAGGUAUUUAACUAUCUAUUAUAGCAGUAUACCUUCGGUUUUUUUAUUUAAACACAUUUCCCUUUGAAAAAUCAUUUCAAUUAAAGCACAUUUUUAAAGGUUUUUUUCUAUCACUACAUUUUUAUUUUCAAAUAUUCUUUUAUUAAGACAUUUUAUUAAAAAAACUUCAAAAUUUUUACAUACCAUGCAUUUUACUUUGUAAUAGUUAUCAAUUAUAGCAUUGUAUUCUCAAUUUUCUUAUUAAAAGCACAUUUUCAUUUUAAAAAUCAUAGCAAUUAAAGCUUUGCACUAUUUUUUUGUGUUACAACAUUUUAGUUUCAAAUAGUCUUUUAACAAGACAUUUUAUUGAAAAAUCUUUACAUUCGUUUACUUAUUUAGGCAGUUUACCAUGAAAUUUACUAACUAAAGCAUAUUGCACUUUCUUAGAUUUUUUCUUUUAUUACAACAUUUUUACUUAUAUAGGUAUAUUACUUUAAAAUUUUAUCAAUUGUAGUAUUGUACUUUCAAUUUUCUUAUUAAAAGCAAUUUUUUCCUUUGAAAAAUAAUUCAUUUCACUAUUUUAGAUUUUUUUUCUUUCAAAUAUUGUUUUAUCAAGACACUUAUUAAAAAGUUGUAACAGUGUAGGUCUGAUUUAGUAGAUAACAAAAUGGAAUUGAAUUGCUUGGAAUGGAAUGAUUGAAUUAGAAAAGGAAUCCUCAAAUAUGGAUUAGAUAUGAAUAUAAAAAGGGAGUUAACGGGUUAAGGGGUGUUUAGGUCUUUUCCCUUGUUAUGUUAGUUAUUAGGUUAGUAUAAUUAAGAGGUAUUGGAAUUUAGUUAGUAUCGAUUGCUUGAUUGUUAGAAGUAAGUUCUUCUUUGGGUUAAGGGGUCUUUUAGGUCUUUUAUAUGCAUAUCUAAUCCAUAUCUCAGAAUUCCUUGUCUAAUUCAAUCAUUCCAUUCAAUUCCAAGCAAUUCAAUUCCAUUCUGUUAUCUACUAAAUCAGACCUAAACUAUUAUAAAAAUCUCUACAUUUUUUACUUGUUUAGGCAUUUUACUUUGAAAAUCUUAGCAAAUAUAACAUUGUACUUUAUGUAUUCUUAUUAAAGCAUUGCAUUUUAAGUUUUCUUUUUUAAAAGCACAUUAUCGUUUGAAAAUCAUCCCAACUAAAGCAUUGCAUUUUUUUCCCAUAUUGCAACGAUUUUACUUUCAAAUAAUCUUUUAUCAAGACAUUUUACAAUACAAUUUUACUUAUCUAGGCCUUUUACUUUUGAAAAUUUAUCAAUUAUGACAUUGUACUUCCACUUUUCUCAUUAAAAUCAUAUUUCUUUUUAAAAAAUCAUCCAACCAAAACAGUUUUUUUUUUUUUUUUUUUUUUUUUUUUUUACAANUUUUUUUUUUUUUCGUAUUACAACAUUUUGACUUUCAAAUACUCUUUUAUCAAGACAUUCUUUACAAAAACUUAUACAUUUUUUACUUAUUUAGGCAUUUUACUCUGAAAACUUUACCAAUUAUAGCAUUGUACUUUUAAUUUUUUUUAUUGAAUGCAAAUUUCUUUUGAAAAAUCAUCCCAAUUAAAGCAUUACAUUUUUCUAGUUUUUUUUUCCGUAUUACAACAUAUUUGCUUUCAAAUAAUAUUUUAUCAAGACAUUUUUUACAAAAAAAUUUACAUUUUUUACUUAUCUAGGCAUUUCCCUUAUAAAAAUACAUUAUACACAUAUAUUAAAUCCCCUCACACUUAGGGAGGAGGGAGUCCUUCCCUCUCAACCCACUGCCACAUCAGCUUUUUUUUAUUCUCUCGCUUCAAUCUUUGCCAACCCACAACACAUGGAAAUCCUAUCUUUUCCAACCCACUCAACCUACUUUCCACAUCAUUUAAUUAAAUUAAAAAAGAUAAAAUAAAAUAAAAUAUAGCAUUUUUUAUUUAAAAAUAAAUAUUUGCUAAUUUAAAACAAAAAAAUCUAAAAUAAUAUUAAAAAUAACAUUAAUUAAAAAAACACACUACAAAUAGAAAAAAAUACACGAAAAUUAAAAAAACACUUCAAAAAUACAAAAUAAUUAAGAUCCUAAAACGAUAAUUAAAAUUAACUAGUUAUCUAAAGUUGAAAUAUAGACAUGUUAAUCGAAGCUGGUGGUGGGUUUCAUCAUUGCGCAAUUCAUGUAUGAUUUCUAGGUCUUCGACUUCGUCAUUGGGGGGNNNNNNNNNUGAUGCACAGGAGAUAUCGCAGCACCCUCAUCUUUCAGUAUCAUAUUGUGCAGUAUAAUACAAACAUACAUUAUGUUUUUCGUUUUCUUCACCGUCAUAGCCCGUGCCGACAUCUUUAAUAUGUCCCAACAUCCUUUAAGGACCCCAAACGUACGUUCUACGUCCUUUCUUGCUGAUUCUUGUGCCGCCUUGAACCGUUUCUUUUUGUUCGUUAUUGCAUGUGGAUAUGACUUCACGAAUACAACCCAUGUUGGAUAUAUUCCAUCGGCAAGAUAGUAACCAUGCUUGUAGUGUUCACCAUUCAGAUCAAAUGAGCAAUCAGGUCCUGUUCCAUGAUAUUUCUCAUCAAACAAUGGUGAUUGGUAGAGGACGUUCAAAUCAUUGUUCGAACCAGCUACACCAUAGAAUGCAUGCCAAAACCAUAAAUCUUGUGAUGUCACUGCUUCUAGUAUCAUUGUUGGAUACUGAUGGUCACCCCUCAUGUAUUGGCCUCUCAGUUCUGUUAGACAAUUCCUCCAAUUCCAAUGUGUGCAGUCAAUGCUACCAAGCAUUCCAGGGAAUCCAUGUCUAGCUUCAUGUGCUUCAUACAAUUUUUGAAUGUCAGUGGAUGUUGGACGGCGUAAAUAUUCAGCCUUAUACAUUUGGACAAUACCAUAGCAAAAGUUUUCUAGAGCUUCACGAGAAGUUCUUUCUGACAUAUUUAGAUACUCAUCUAAUGAGUCUGGGUUAUAACCCUUCGCUAAUUGACGUAUUGUUGAGGUGCAUUUUUGUAGCCCACUGAAACUUCUCUGAUUUGUUGCAUCCCAUGUUGUUUGAAAAUAUGGAUAAUUCAUCUCUAGGUCACCAACAAGUUGCAUAAACAAACCUUUGCUCAUACGGAACCUUCUGCGGAAUAGAUCAUGACCAUAUGUUGAAUCAUCUGCAAAGUAAUGUCGGAUCAGUAGCUGUUCAGCCUCUAAACGAUCUCUUUGGAUUGUGUUUCUCCUUUGAUUGUUACUUGAGCUAACAUUAUUCUGGAGAAGAAGUUGUGCAGUACGAGAUAAUGCAGGUAACAAAUUAUUGUUGAUAAGUUCAUCCUCGGAAGAUGAACUAUCGUUGUUACUAUCCAUGAACUAUCGUUGUUACCAUCCAUUACUAUUUUGCGAACGUUUGGAUUCAUUUUGAAAGAGAGAGAAACGAUAGAGAGAAAAUGAAACAAACAUAUAUAAAGAGAUAAUGAAACAAACAUUCAUAUAUAUAUAUAUAUAUAUAUAUNAGAGAAAAUGAAACAAACAUAUAUAGAGAGAUAAUGAAACAAACAUUCAUAUAUAUAUAUAGUGAAACAAGAGAAUCUUAAUAAAAAGAAAAAAGAAAAAGUAAAAGAAAAAGAAAAAUAAUCAUAAAAAAGAAAAAGAUUCUCAGUCAAAUGAUGUCGACACUCUGAACUUCACGGGUUCUACAACUCCCAACCAUAUUUAGUUGCAAUUUGUCGUUUCCUUUCAAGAACCGUGCUCAAAAUAGCUCCAGUCAAAUGAUCAUGCGGUCGUAGAAAAUACUCCAUAUCUUGGUUCUCUAUCUCUCGCUCCAACAAUUGAGCUUUCAGUGCUUCAUUAGCUUCUAAAAUACGUAAUUUUUGUUCCCGGUACCGUUGUCUCUGUUUCGCCUCUAUGUUGGUUGUAGUGUUGAUGCUGGCAAUAUGGUUGACAAGAUCAAACAUUUCAUUUUGUGUUGACGAUACUGAUGCCACUUUUUUUCCUUUUCUUUUUCUCUGAGGUGGUGAGUCUUCAACAUUAAAAGGUUGUUGUUGUUGGGGGAAUCUGGGAGGAUACUGUGCAUCGGAAGAUGUUGUAUGGGCGUUAGAUGAAGAUGUUUUAGUUCGUUUUUAAAAAGGAGGCGAGGAGUCUUCACCAGCUUUUGUAACCAACGCCCAUUUCUCGUGGUCUUUCAACCACUCCCAAGCUUUUUGAUGAGGAAAGGAUUUUUGAUUAACAGUACUCCGAUACUCGCUUAGUGAGGCUUUUAAAACAUCAGCCUCAGAUCUCCCACUAGCCACACUGUUCAUCCUACGGUUAUAGAUGCAGUUGAAAGUGUUACAUUUCUUUUGCAGGUCUUUCCAUUUUGAGUUUACUUGGUGUCGUGUCUGAUCUGAACCUCCAAUCUGAACAUUAAAAUGCUCUAGAACCCGAUCCCAAAAUGCAUCAAAUUGUUGUUGGUUUCCACGCUGUUUAUCUUGAGAACAAUCGACAUAUGCCCUAGCUAAAGCCAACUCUUCACGUUCCACCCAUUUCUUUGACUUCUGAUGGUUUGUAAAGGUGCGUUUUUUCUCAACAACAGGUCGCAACUCCUCACUAGUUUCUUCUUCAUUUCUUUCGGGAACCGGAUCGUCACUAGAACUAUCAGAUUCUACGUUCUGAGAAUCACGGAACUGGAAAUGCUCGGUUGGGAAGAUUGGAAUUGAGUUUCUGGAACCCUUUGGGAAAACUGAUUACAUGGAUUAUAACUCAUAUUUUCCUCUGAAAGCGUAAAUGUGUUGUAAGAUUGUUGCACCGGGUAAUAUUGUUGUGGAUAGUUUUGGUUUUGUUGGUAAAUUUGGUAUUGUUGAUAGUUUGGAUUUGGGUUAUGAAAGGUUGGAGAAGAAAAUGGAAUAUUUUGACUUGAACCGUCUUGCGUGGAUUUGCGUCUUUAGUUAGAACCGGUUUGUUUACUUUUGCCUCGGGAAUCCAUUGAAGGUUACUAGAGAAAUUGAACCAACUUGUAAAAUAUUUCCAGACAAAUCACACUACAAAUAACACUACAAAUAAGUAAAUUUUGCAUUCAUCGUAAACUUAUAAAAAGAAAGCAAAAAAGUAGAUAAAUAAAUAAAAUAAAUACUCAUGGGUGGUUGGUGAAUAUUGUUCAAAAAUACUUACAUGCAAUAAAAGUAAAUUAAAGUUUGGCAGGAAUCUUUGCAUACAGUGAUUGAUUGCAUGCAUGCAUGAAUAGUCAAAGAAAAAUUGAAUGGUCAAGGAAAUUGAAUGCAUUAACUCACGGGUUGGUGAACCUUAUAGAAACAAACAACUCAUCCAACCCGCUAAACCCAAUUAAAAGGAAGUUGUUUGCCGGCGGUACCGGGAUACGCCCUGACCCAUUUCUAAAUUUUGAAACGACUCCUUAUGGCCUUAGGAACAAUGUCUUUUCUAUGAUUCUCAUUUUGACCACACAAUUUUGUUUUUUCUCAAUUUCACCCUGGCACUUAAAUACGUGACACGCAUCACUAUUAAACCGAUUAUCAUUCCCCUUUGCCUUCGUCUUUCCCUUAAUUUCUGAUUUCUUCUUCGUCUUUUCUUUGCUUCCAAGAACUUUGUGGUUUGUCGAUGCAGUGAUUUUUGAGGUUUCGCAACGACGCGGACGCACCCAACCAUCGGUUUCAAGCAAGUAUCUAUUUUAAUUUGGGAGUUGGGUAUGUUAUCUAUGUUCUGAACGUGGUCAUACCUGUUUUUUUAUGCUUAGAAGCAAUUCUCUGUUUCGAUUUUGGGUUAGUUGUUUUUUUUUUUUUCAAAUUUUGGUCUCGGGCUCCACCGUCAAUCACUUUGGGUUAGGGUUGGGUUUACUUUCACUAUUUAUGAAUUGUCUAAUUUUGGUCUCGGAUACGUAGUAUCACUGUUACAAAUUGGAUCAAUUGUUCAUCUUAGGAUAGCAAUCUUGAUACAGCUAUUCCUUCUAUAAAGGUGACGAUCCUUCUAUUUCAGAUUAGCACUUAAAAUCUGAAGGUAAGAUGUAGAGGUUAAGGUAUAGAAGAUGGGUGAAUUUCAGAGAUCUAUUGUUUGUAGAAUUGCUUCCUUAAGUAUCUGUUGUUUCGUUUCUUUCUUGUCUGUUGGUGUGUUCCAUAUUUUUGUUUAUUAUGAUGAUGUUUUUCUGUGCUUUGCAGGUUACAUAGUGCAUCUGUGUGGUUUUUGUUGUCAAUCUGCUUACUCUGGUAUGUCUCCUAUACCGUGUUUCUGCUGUUAAUGGUAUUUAUUGUGGUAAAUGUAAGCAAAAUGAAAUGAUUCAAAUCCAGUGAUGUUGUAAUUCAUACCCUCUCCUUUUUGGUUUGUCUGUGCAGGCUUUACUAACAUCCCAUGGUUUUGGUUACAAAUUGUAAAAAAAAAAAAAACAAAAAAAGUCCAUCAAUUGUUAAAGGUAGGAGUUGAGACUCCAUAAUUAAUGAACAAAGUUUGUUUCCUUCCACUUCCAAUAUGCACACAUUCAAUUAUAUUGUUAUCUUCUUUUAUUCAAAAUUACAUUUACAAAUGUGUUGUAUGAUUUCUUAGGUUUGCAUAUUGUUUAUAGGAGGGGACUCUAGGUCAUUUUGUAUUUAUAUGUUUACAGAAAGUUAUUUAGCUAAAAUAAUCUGAUGCAUGAGUGUGCUUUUUUUUUUUAACCAAUUAGCUUGCUUAUUGACAUAUUUUACUUGAGGGGUAUUUUUGUCAAUUACCAUUCUUUUACCGAAUUUGUUUGACUUUUGACCAACAGGGAAAGAAUGAAAGUUUUCUGUCUACUCAUGGAACUGAAACUCAAAGUUUAGCUACAUAAUAGGAACAUAUGUAAUUAUAAUGGAUCGUGUGUGUAUGCACGUCAAAAAUUAAAAAAAAAAAAAAAAGAUCCGUGGUUCACCACGGUUUCACUUACUAGUUCCAAUUAAAGCUUCAAACUUUUUUAGUUUUUCUUUUUCUUUUACAACAAUGUUACUUUUUGAAAUAUUAUUUUAUCAAGGCUUUUUUAUAUUGUUUUCACCUUUUUUUACUUUUCCAUGCAUUUUAUUUUCACAGUUUAACAAUUAUAGCAUUGUACUUCCAGUUUUCUUAUCAAAAGCGUAUUUCUCUUUACAGUUUUUAUUUUCUUUCCUUCUAUAACAUUGUUACUCUCAAAUAUUUUUCAUAUCAAGACAUUUUAAUAAAUAAUCUUUAUAUGUUUUACUUUUUUUUCAUUCUACUUUGAAAAAUUUACCAGUUAUAGCAUUAUACGACCAGUUUUCUUUUAUAAAAGCACAUUCGCUUUGAAAAAACAUACCAAUUAAAGUUUUACACAUUUGUCUGUUUGUUUUUUUCUUUUACAACAUUUUAAUUGUUAAAUAUUCUGUUAUCGAGACAUUUUAUUAAAAUAUCUUUUCAUUUUUUAUUUAUCUAGACAUUCUACUUUGAUAAAUCUACCAAAUAUAGCAUUAUACUUUAAUUAUUCAUAUUAAAAUCACAUUUCCUUAGAAAAAUCACCUCAACAAAGUUUUGCACAUUUUAUUAAAAAUCCUUAAAAUUUUUACAUCAGACAUUUUAUAUACUUAGAAAAUUUUACUAAUUAUAGCCUUGCACUUUUAGUUUUCUUAAUAAAUGCACAUUUUCUCUUUGAAAAUCAUCCCUACCAUAGCUUUCAAUUUUUUGGUUUUUAUUUCCUCUUUUAUAACAUUUUUAAUCUAAAAUAAUCUUUUAUCAAGACAUUUAAAAAAACAAUUGUUUUACAUAUCUAAGCCUUCUACUUUUAGCUAUUUACCAAUUAUAGCAUCGUAACUUAUUUUUGUUAUUAAAAGCACAUUUUCCUCUUCUCUAAUUAUAGCAUUGUACUUUAAGUUAUAUUAUGAAAAGCACAUUUCCAUUUGAAAAAUCAUCCUAAUUAAAACAUUGCACUUUUUAAGAUUUUUUUUUUUACUUUUACCACAUUUUAACUUUCAAAUGUUGUUAUAUUAAGACAUUUUAUUAAAAAAUCUUUACAUUUAUAUACUUAUCUAGGCAUUUUACUUUGAAAAUCUUACCAAUUAUAGCAUUAUACUUUAUGUUUUCUUAUUAAAUGCACAUUUUACUUUGAAAAAUCAUACAAGUUAAAGCUUUGCACUAUCUAGGCAUUUUUUUUGCUAUCAAUGCAUUUUAUUGUAUCAAGUCGCUUUAUUUUGAAAAAUCUAUCCAAUUUUUUUACUUUGAAAAAAUAAUAAUUCUUUUCUCAUCAAGGCAUGUUAUUUUGAACAAACCAUCAAAUUUUUAUGUAUCUAGAGAUUUUAUUUUGAAGAAUCUAGUUUUUUUUUCUUUCAAAGCAUUUACUUUGAAAAAUCUAUCAUUUUAUUUUAUAUCAAACCAUUUUACUUUGGAAAACCUACACAACUAUAGCAUUGUACUUUCAGUUUUCUUUAUAUAAGCACAUUUUCAAAAGUCAACCCAUUUAUAGCAUUGCAUUUUGCAGUUUUCUUUUUGUUCAACAUUAUUAUUUUCAUAUUUUAUUUUAAUAAGUCUAAUUGGUCUAUCGAAUUUUUUCUUAUCAAGACAUUUUUACUUUAUAAAAGUUUAACCUAUUUUUUUGCUCAUCAAAGCACUUUUUUUUUGAAUUAUCCAUCAAAAAAAUCAAGUUUCUUUUUUAUGCUAUGAUAUUAAAAUUUUCAAAUCUCCUAUUUUCAAAUCAAUUUACUUUGAAAGCUAUAUUAUUUUUUUUAAUAAAGGCAUUUUACUCUGAAAAAUCUACCAAGCACAUGUCUCUUUGAAAAAUCAACCCAUUUGCUUUAUUUUAGUUACAACAUUACAAACAUUAUUUUUUUUUUAUCUUAUCAGGUCAUUUUACUUUAAUCUAUCAUAUUUUUUUAUUAUCAAGGCAUUCAUCUUUGAAAAAUCUGACAAAUAUAGUAUUGUAUUUACAAUUUUCUUAUUAUAAGCACAUUUCCUCUUGAAAACUCAACCCAUGUAUAGCACUGCUUUUAUCUUUAUGUUACAACAUUAAAACAUUCAAAUUUUAUCUUAUCAAGUCAUUGUACUUUGAAAAAUCAAUCAUAUUUUUUUUUUUUCAAAUCUAGUCUUUUUACUUUGAAAAAUCUCUCAUUUAGAGCACUGUAUUUUCAUUUUUCUUAUUUUAAGCACAUUUUCCUUGAAAAAUCAACCCCAUUUUAGCAUUGCACUUUCAGUAUGUUUCUUUCUAUUAUAGUUUUCAAAAUUUUCUUAUCAAGGCAUUUAACAUUGAAAAAACAAUCAAAAUCUUUUCUUAUCAAGGCAUUUUACUUUAAAAAAUUCCAUCAAUUUUUUUCUUAUGGAGCCCUUUACCUUGAAAAAUCUAUGAAGUAUUACAUUACAUUGCAUUUUCAGUUGUAUUAUUAUAAGCAUAUUUACCUUUGAAAAAUCAACCCGUUUAUAGCAUUGCACUUUUCAAUUUUCUUUCUAUUAUUGCAUUGUAACUUUCAUGAUUUUUUCUUCAUGUUGCCUUGAAAAAUCUAUCAAUUUUUUUCUAAUAAAGGCAUGUUACUUGAAAAGUCUACCAUAUAUAGGACUACACUAUUCGGUUUUCUUUUUGUUACAACAUGGUAAAUGUCAAAAAAAGUUUACCUACCAAUUAUAACAUUGUUCUUUUAAUUUUCGUAUUAUAAGUUACGAUUUAAAAUUGUAAAAACCACUUGUAAAAUUCCAUUUUUCAGUUUUUUUUCUGCUUCAAAAUUGCAACUUCCAAAAAUUUCUUACCAAGGUCUUUUUUUUUUUUGAAAAAAGUAUCAAAUAUUUUCUUAUGAAAGAAACUUACUUUGAAAAUCAACCCAAUUUUUAGCAUUGUACUUUCAUUUUUGUUAUUAUCAGCACAUCUAUGUUUAUGACAAGUUUUGAAAUGUAUUCUAUUCAUUUCAUUUUAUUAUGUUAAUAUUAAUUAUAUUUAUUUCUUUUUACUAUUUUUUAUAUGAUUUCAUUGGUUUGUUAUUUUUGUAAGAAAUGUAAAAAGCUGUCGGUCCAAAACCAACACCGCAGGUUUAUCACUUUAUUUAAUUUAUUGGUUAAAUUACUGACUAUCAGUUUCUUUUAUUUUGUAAAUUGGUUACUUGUUUUGAUUGAUGUAUUUACCUGCUAUAUAUAAUUAUAUGAUGUGAUUUUAACUGUUGUUAUUUUAUGUUUUAUGCAUAAGUUUUGGCUCUUCUUGCAUUUUGAAUGUUACUGAAGUCAAUAUGUUUUAUAAGUUAAUUAUCUGAUUAUUAAGUUUUAUGUUCAUAAACUCUCUUGUGUCAAGGACAUUAAGUUAUGGUUUUCUUUGUUUUGAAGUAAGCUGUUUGCUUAUUUGAUCUCAGUUUGAGAAUUAUUUUGGUUACAAGUUUUGUUGGUCAUGUAUUAUUACCUACACUUACUUUUUUAUUAAGUAGUUGUGUUAUUUAUUGUUUACUUUUGUUUGUUUAAAUUUCUAGUAGGCACAUGAUUAUCUGUAGUAUGAAUUUAUUUUUAUGUUUUUUCUUCAUUUUAUACUGCUUUUAUAUUAAAAGCCGAUACAACUUUUUGUUGGUCAGACUUGACUUUUCACAACAAAAAAUUAUCCUGUUUACAUGUUUUAAUGUCUAAUCGUGUAAUUGUGGCUUUAUGUGUAGGAGGUUCUACUUUGUUUAUUUCUUGUGUGUUUGUUUGUAGGACCUGCUUCGGAAUUCAUGUAUUAGUUCAGUUUGUAGGCCUUUUCUUUUUCUUGUGUGGCUUUGUAUGUUGAUUUUGCUUUGUUUGUAGAGUUAUUGUGUGGCUUUGUUUAUAGGAUUCUAAUUUGGAAUUCAUGUGUAGGGUUUGGUUUAUAGGGUUCUGUUUUUGAAUUUGUGUUCCUUUUCUCGUGUAGCUUUGUUUGCAGAGUUCUUACAUGCCUUUGUUUUUACAGAUCUUCUAUAUUGUAUUUUAUCGUGUCUAUUUUGUUUGUAGGGUUCUACUAUGUUUGAUUUUGCUUUGCUUUGUUUAUAAGGUUCUAUUUUAUUUGUAGAGAGUUCUGGUGUGGCUUCGUUUGUAGGGUUCUACUUUGUUUGUAGGAUUCUGUUUUGAAAUUCAUGUCUUGGUUCUACUUUUGAAUCCUUUUCCCUUUUCUUGUGUGGCUUUAUUUGUAGGGUUGUGUUUUGUUUGUAGAGUUAUUAUGUGAGUUUUUUUAUAGGAUUUUUCUUUGGAGUUCUUGUCUCGGGUUAUGUUUGUAGGAAUCAACUUUGAUAUUCUUAUCCAUUUCAAUAUUCUUAUGUGGCUUUAUUUCUAGGGUUCUGAUUCUUUAUGUAGAGUUCUUAUUGGUUCUAUUUAGAUGGUUCACCUUUGUUUUUAGACUUCUUGUGUGGCUCUAUUUGUAGGAUUCUUGUCUUAGGUUCUCUUUGUUUCUUUGUAGGGUUAUGUUUCAAAAUUCUUCUCCAUUUUCUCUGUAGAGUUGUUCUUAUGAAUUCUUUGUAUCGGGUUCUAUUUGUGAAGCUUUGGAAUUCCUGUUAAUUUGUGUUUUCUUGUGUGAAAUUUAUAGGGUUAUUUUUUGUUUGUAGAGUACUUGUGUGGCUUUGUUUUAGGGUUCUACUUUCUUGUCUUUAAUUAUGUUUGUAGGGUUCUACUUUGGAAUUCUUAUUCAUUGCAUUUUCUUGUGUGGCUUAGCAGCUUUGUUUGUAGACUUCUUGUAUGACUUUCUUUGAUCUUUGAUUGUAGGGUUCUGCUUGUGAAUUCUUGUCUUGGGUUCUCUAUGUUGGGUUUUGCUUUAGAUUUCUUUAUCCAUUUUGUAUUUUCUUUGUAGGGUUUUUUGCUUUGUUUGUAUAAAUCUUAUGUGGCUUUGUUUCAAGAUUUCUUGUGUAACUUUGUUUGUAGAGUUCUUGUGUCUCUUUGAUUGUAAUCUUUGGAAUUCUUGGGUUAUGUUUGUAGGGUUUAUUAACAUUUAGUCUUCAACAAGGCUAUAACUUCAUGGUUGAAUUAGAUUUGAUCUAAUAACUUUAGGGUUGAAUAAUUUCUUGAAAAGUUUGGUCGUUAGGACCGAGUAACAAAUGGUGAGUCUAGAACUAAAAAAACACAUGGUUCACUAUUUAAGUAAAACCGAUAGAAAAUGAAAAAAAAAAAAAAAAAAUCUAAAAAUACUAGUUGUAUGUCCGGGUCGGAUCAUAUUAACUUGAUAGAAAAUGUAAAGAUAAAAAUAAGAAAGUGUUACUUUUGUUACUAUGCUCUUUUAAUUUCAAUCUCUCUAAUUCACAUAUGAUAAAUUUUCAUAUUUGGUCGUUAUGUCGGAUCAACAAGUAGUGAACUUCAACUAACUCUUAUAUGUUUAUGUAGAUCAUUAUCUUCUUCUACAUUCAUUUUUCAUUCAUUUAAAAAAAAAAACUUGAAUAAAGACAUUUCUAAUUCUAAUUUCUUAAACAAAUGGCAAUUAACAAAUCAACAAUUAACUAACACAAUUCUAAAACUUAGAAGUCAAUGUAAUUAAACAAGUCCAAAGAACCAAUUGCUAAAAUCAUUAGUGUGAACCGUGGAUCAAAGACUUGGAAUUUGAAAGUGAAUUUAAAUAAAGUAUUAAACAAAGACAAAAAAGAUGAAAAAUUAAUUUUUCAAAUUGUCAAAUACAUUAAGAAAAUAGCCCCUUUGAAUCAAAUAACAAAAUCGUCAACCUCGGUGAAUCCGUAAAAAAAUUCAAAUAAAAAAGAACAUUGGAAAUGUUUAAUUGAAUGUAACUAAAAAAGCUACAAAGACCUUAAACCAAAGACAAAAGUAGCACAAUUUUGAAUUGAGAAUUUUACAACUUGCUGGACUGGAGUGUAAGAUUGGUCGGUUGGUGGUGUCGUAGGAAGAAGGCGGGCAGAAGGCCGACGGGAGUCGGUUGGUUGAGGGCACUGAGAACAUUGAGGGCAAUGAUCACAUUAAUAGAGACCUUCGCAACCGUUUAAAUUUUUCAUAAUUCUUUUUUUCUUUUCUGUUUAAUUACAAAUUUUUAAUGGACAACUGUUUUUUGGCUUACAAAUUUUUGGGGAUCCAAUAAACAAUGCCACUUCCAAAACAUACUAACCUUCAUGUAUUGCUAUCCUUUUCUCUAAACAAAAUUAAUGGAAACAAAAGAAUCAAUUAACAGAAUUCUUCUGGUUUUGGUUUAGGAAACCUUCUAUAUCCAAACUUUGCAUCCACAAAACCUAAUUUUGUCGAACUCCAACCACAAUUUCUCCUUCCCUAAUCCUUUCCGCUCUCCAAAUCUCCUGCAAAAAUUUGUUUCUCUUCACACUUGCUUAUUUGUUAACACUAUUUUUUCCCUUCUUGAAACUUUUGUGGUUAGCAUUGAUUUUAUUCUAUGAUAUUAAUGUGUGCGUAAUCUUGGAUUUUGAAUAGAAUUACUCUGGUUUCAGCUAUCACACUUUGAUUUAGUGUGGAAAUCAAUCACCAAGUAUAACUGACGAUUUCAAUUUUGAAUUUGGGGUUUUAAUGUGUGCGUAAACUUAGAUUCUGAGAGAGCGUGUCAUAUUGUUGUGAUUUAGGGGGUGUUUGGCUUAACUUUUCACAGCCAAAAGUUCUUUUUGGAAAAGAAAAAAAAGCAAAAGAUGUUUGGCAAACUAGUUUUAAAAGUUACUUUUGAAGUUUUUACAUAAGAAAAGGAACUUUUUGGAAAAGUCAGGAAACUUUUUAUAACUUUUCCAAAAAUGACUUUUGGGGUUUGAAAAGCUAAGCCAAACACCCCCUUAGAAUUCAUUGCAGAAGAAGGCUUAUUAGGUAUACAUUUCUUCAUUUCCUUCUACUUGUCUUCUCUUUUUAGCAAUUAGGAUAGGAAAGGAUUGUAAAAGAAUGAUUCAAUAUUAAAAUUAAUAAAGGGUAGAUUUGAGAGAAUUUAAAAAAAAAAAAAAAAAAAAGUUUGUUGAAACGCUAGUCUAGUCUAAGUAGCUUUUUUAAAAAUCUAGCAUAAAAGUUCUAUCUUUUUGGCUUGCCAAACAUGACAGCCUAAAAAAACUUGAAAAAUAAGCUAACUGCGACAUGACAAACAUAGUCAUAGACUCGCUAUUCAUCUAUUGUUUAUGCAAAAGAUGUUAAUGUCAUUUCCAUUCUUAUCAUUGAAAAUAGACAUAGAAAGCUUGUGUAGUUGAGUCAUGUUCCUUGUAACAAGGGACAAUGUUUGGUAAUGAUAUUUGACUUGUAUACACCUUAACAGACCAUUAAGGUUUGCUCAUUUCUUCAUAUUGAUUUCUCCUUGUCGAUUAUGGAAAAUUUGCUUUUACAAGAAUGAGACAUCGUGCGAGUAAAGAAUAUGACCAUUACAAAGGGUACAUGUGUCAAAUUGUAACCACACACAUUCGACUUUCUCAACAUUUCCAACCCAAAAUCAAUGUAAGUCAACAAGACAUAUAUUAAAAGACCAAUGUAUUCUCAUUAUAUAUAAUGAGCAGAAUUAAAAAAAAUAAUAAUAAUAAAAUAAAAAAAAAAGAUUUUUCAAGUCAUUUACGUUGAACUUUUCAGUUUUCUUUUUAAUAUCAAAACAUUCCAAGUCCAUUUUCAUGUUACAUCAAGUGCUCCAGUAGUUCCAACGAGGGAGGAUUAGUUUUGUUUAUUGAAAGGAUUGUCGAAUGUAGAGUUGGCAUGUUAGCAGGUUUUGUCCCUAGACAUAUGUAGGUCGGAAAAUGUGGUCUCCCCACAAAUAAAUAAAUCCAUUGUUCUAUAAAACUGAACACUAUUCCUCUCCUCAAAUUUAAUAUAACAUGAUGACGGAUUAAUUGCUUUGAUAAAUCUAACAACAUGACGGAAUUAAUAAAAAUUAAAGGAAGAUUAUACCUGAAUGAUGCGUUGGAUUAUAUUGAUGAUGGAUUGUGUUGAAUGAUUAGAUGAUUAUAUGGAUAGUUUGGAUAGAACUCUGCUAUUCAAAAAUAGAACAACUAUUUCAACAGAGAAGACAAUUGAGAUCAACUCAAGUCUUAAACACUCAAACUUAGCUUGUUUAUUUCAUUUGGGCAAAGGCCCUAUUUAUAGGCUCAAGAGAGCCGGUUACAAUUACUGUUGCAAUCGUUUGAUUGCAAUAUGACACAUAUAUAUUUACAUUAUAGCCUCCUAGACUAUUGAGGGUUAUACACUUUAUGUUACAUCAACCUACACUUAAUAAUUAUUCUACCGACACUUAUUUAAUUACAUAACAAUCCUUCUACCGACACUUUACAUAAUGAAAAAUAUAAUAAUCCCUUUCAUGAAAGGACAGGUGUCUNAACUUCCGCGGGGACCGGGCAAUUUGUAGUUAAUAAUAGUUAGAAAUGUCAAAAAUAAAUGAAAGAUAAAUUGAAGAAGACAUUAUAGUCAUUUUACACAGUUUUGAAAAUCGGAUUAUUGAGUUCGCCUGGACUACGCUGGCUUUGGGAUGCCAGGCUUGAUGCUUCAAGAAAGUUCCAAACCAAUCUCUGGCACUUGGUAAAGAUUUGUGAUUUCCGGGUGAUGACAAGUAACUCGUGAAGGUCUAUAGUCAACUACGGCUAUUGAGCGUCGAGACCAAGAAUUUGAAGAAAGAUCUCUGCUUAGGCUUAAAAUCUCUCUACCUCUCAAAGUCACCACUCCGUCCAAGUGUGGAGGUCAGAAUCCCAUCCUAUCCACCCGGGCCGUCGUCACCACCUUCUUUUGUCCGAUCCUUCUCCUCUUGAAAGGAUGAAGCGGACACAUUUAUAAUAACAAAGAAUGAAGCAUGCAACUCAUUACUUAAUUAUAUCUAACAAUAAACAAAUCAUAUUUAUCUUAUUUGGUAGUAUUCGUCGAUCGUUCUUGUAUCUAUUUGUAUCCACA
rnacentral:lncRNA from 1 species